rnacentral:rRNA from 1 species
UACGAAGGGGGCUAGCGUUGCUCGGAAUUACUGGGCGUAAAGGGCGCGUAGGCGGAUAGUUUAGUCAGAGGUGAAAGCCCAGGGCUCAACCUUGGAAUUGCCUUUGAUACUGGCUAUCUUGAGUUCGGGAGAGGUGAGUGGAAUGCCGAGUGUAGAGGUGAAAUUCGUAGAUAUUCGGCGGAACACCAGUGGCGAAGGCGACUCACUGGCCCGAUACUGACGCUGAGGCGCGAAAGCGUGGGGAGCAAACAG